AAUCUACUCCCUCCGUUCCAUAAUUCUUGCCUCAAAAUUGCUAAAAAAAUGGAUGUAUCUAUUCCUAAAAGGUGUCUAGAUACAUGUAAGAUUUCAACAAGAAUUAUGGAACGGAGGGAGUAGCGA
rfam:Brachypodium distachyon strain Bd21 chromosome 3, whole genome shotgun sequence.